rnacentral:rRNA from 1 species
UACGGAGGGUGCAAGCGUUGUUCGGAAUUACUGGGCGUAAAGCGCGUGUAGGCGGUCGCUUAAGUCUGAUGUGAAAGCCCGGGGCUCACCUCCGGAAGAGCAUUGGAAACUGAGCGACUCGAGUGCCGGAGAGGAGGGUGGAAUUCCUGGUGUAGCGGUGAAAUGCGUAGAUAUCAGGAGGAACACCGGUGGCGAAGGCGGCCCUCUGGACGGAUACUGACGCUGAGACGCGAAAGCGUGGGGAG